UACGGAGGAUGCGAGCGUUAUCCGGAUUUAUUGGGUUUAAAGGGUGCGUAGGCGGAUUGAUAAGUCAGUGGUGAAAUCCUGCAGCUUAACCGCAGAACUGCCGUUGAUACUGAUAGUCUUGAGUUUGGUUAAGGUAGGCGGAAUGUGUAAUGUAGCGGUGAAAUGCUUAGAUAUUACACAGAACACCAAUUGCGUAGGCAGCUUACUGAGCCGACACUGACGCUGAGGCACGAAAGCGUGGGGAUCAAACAGGAUUAGA
rnacentral:rRNA from 1 species